rnacentral:rRNA from 1 species
AACGAACGCUGGCGGCAGGCUUAACACAUGCAAGUCGGGCGCCUCGCAAGAGGAGCGGCAGACGGGUGAGUAACGCGUGGGAACGUACCCUUAUCUUCGGAAUAGCUCUGGGAAACUGGAAGUAAUACCGAAUGUGCCCUUAGGGGGAAAGAUUUAUCGGAUAAGGAUCGGCCCGCGUUGGAUUAGCUAGUUGGUGGGGUAAAGGCCUACCAAGGCGACGAUCCAUAGCUGGUCUGAGAGGAUGAUCAGCCACAUUGGGACUGAGACACGGCCCAAACUCCUACGGGAGGCAGCAGUGGGGAAUAUUGGACAGUGGGCGCAAGCCUGAUCCAGCCAUGCCGCGUGAGUGAUGAAGGCCUUAGGGUUGUAAAGCUCUUUCACCGGAGAAGAUAAUGACGGUAUCCGGAGAAGAAGCCCCGGCUAACUUCGUG